AUGCAUGAUUUAAUGCAUGAGCUAUCUAAGAGUGUUUCUGCACAAGAAUGCCUCAAUAUAAGUGGCCUAGAUUUCCGAGCUGAUGUUGUCCCAAAAUCUGUUCGACACUUAUCUAUCAACAUAGAAGACAUAUAUGAUGCAAAUUUUGAGCAAGAAAUGUGCAAACUAAGGGAGAGGAUAGACAUUGCUAAUCUGCGAAGUUUGAUGAUUUUUAGAAGAUAUGAAGAAGAAAGAAUCGCCAAGCUUCUAAAAGAUAGCUUCAAGGAAAUAAAUAGUCUGCGUGUCCUAUUUACAGUGGUGAAGUCUGCACAAUCCUUUCCAUAUAGGUUUUCAAAACUUAUCCACCUACGGUACCUCAAAAUUAGUUCAUCUUACAAUGAAGAUGAAAUGAGCUUACCUAGUACACUAUCAGGAUUUUAUCACUUGAAAUUCCUGGACCUAGAUCAUUGGUUUGGUAGUUCUGAUUUGCCUGAAGACUUCAGCCACCUUGAGAAUUUACAUGAUUUCCGUGCUAGAAGAGAACUCCACACCAAUAUUCGCAAUGUUGGAAAGAUCAAGCAUCUACAGAGGCUAAAAGAAUUCCAUGUUAAGAAGGAGAGCAUGGGAUUUGAACUGAGAGAACUUGGGGCAUUGUCAGAGCUUGAAAGAGCACUGGUUAUACGUGGUCUUGAACACGUGGCAACCAAGGAGGAGGCUACUGCAGCCAAACUGAUAUUGAAAAGGAAUCUGAAGAAAUUGGAAUUACUCUGGUCAGGCAGAGAUGGACCAACUACAGAUGCUGGUAUUCUUGAUGCUCUUCAACCACACUCUAAUCUUAGAGUACUUACAAUUACAGAUCAUGGUGGUAUGAUUGGUCCUAGCUGGUUGUGUCUUGACAUCUGGUUAAGAAGUUUAGAGACUCUCACUCUAGAAGGCGUAUCUUGGAGCAACCUCCCACCUUUUGGGAAGCUACCAAAUCUCAAGGGCCUCUAUUUGAAUAAACUUUCUGGAAUGCUUCAGUUUGGGCCUCUAUGUGGUGGCGCUCCAGGGAAAUGUUUUAUGCGCUUGAAGGAAGUUGGGUUUUAUGAGAUGCCAGAACUUGCUGAAUGGGCUGUGGAACCUAAUUGCCAUUCCUUUCCAAGUCUUGAAACAAUCAAAUGCAGAGAGUAUCUUGCACCAAUUUACGCAGACUUGAAGUUUGUGACUGCCCCAAGAUGUCUCCGCCCUCCAUGCCUCACACCUCCACACUGGCAACUUUGGAUGUUAAAAGAGGUGGAAGACGUUAUUCAGACACGUUGUUGUCUUAUGAUGGAAAGGAAUUGGUUGCUAGUGGGUAUGGAGGUGCUUUGGCCUACCACAAUCUGCAUAAAGUAG
rnacentral:rRNA from 1 species